GGCUGCAACACAGGACAUGGGAGC
rnacentral:miRNA from 8 species